UGCGUAGGCGGCUUUUUAAGUCGGAUGUGAAAUCCCCGAGCUUAACUUGGGAAUUGCAUUUGAAACUAUGUAGCUAGAGUUCUGUAGAGGGGGGUAGAAUUCCAGGUGUAGCGGUGAAAUGCGUAGAGAUCUGGAGGAAUACCGAUUGCGAAGGCAGCCCCCUGGACAGUGACUGACGCUCAGGUGCGAAAGCGUGGGGAGCAAACAGGAUUAGAUACCCUCGUA
rnacentral:rRNA from 1 species